UAGGGAAUAUUGGACAAUGGGUGAGAGCCUGAUCCAGCCAUGCCGCGUGCAGGAAGAAGGCGUUAUGCGUUGUAAACUGCUUUUUGCCAGGGGAUAAAAAGACCGUGCGCGGUUAAUUGAAGGUACCUGGUGAAUAAGCCACGGCUAACUACGUGCCAGCAGCCGCGGUAAUACGUAGGUGGCAAGCGUUGUCCGGAUUUAUUGGGUUUAAAGGGUGCGUAGGUGGCCCUGUAAGUCAGUGGUGAAAUAUCUCAGCUUAACUGAGAGGGUGCCAUUGAUACUGCAGGGCUUGAGUACAGAUGAGGUAGGCGGAAUUGACGGUGUAGCGGUGAAAUGCAUAGAUAUCGUCAAGAACACCGAUAGCGAAGGCAGCUUACCAAGCUGUAACUGACACUGAGGCACGAAAGUGUGGGGAUCAAACAGGAUUAGAUACCCUCGUAGUCCCUGAG
rnacentral:rRNA from 1 species